CAGUCGCCACGGGAAUACGAAGGGGGCUAGCGUUGUUCGGAUUUACUGGGCGUAAAGGGCGCGUAGGCGGACUGAUAAGUCAGGGGUGAAAUCCCAAGGCUCAACCUUGGAACUGCCUUUGAUACUGUUUGUCUUGAGUUCGAGAGAGGUAAGUGGAACUGCGAGUGUAGAGGUGAAAUUCGUAGAUAUUCGCAAGAACACCAGUGGCGAAGGCGGCUUACUGGCUCGAUACUGACGCUGAGGCGCGAAAGCGUGGGGAGCAAACAGGAUUAGAUACCCCUGUAGUCCCUGUCUCUUAUAC
rnacentral:rRNA from 1 species